CAAGUGAGCUGGUCAGAUUGAAAAUCCAGAGGGUAAAACAAUCUGUGGUGGAGCCCGUAGAAACAAAAUACAGCAGUAAUUUGUUUUGGUAUUCGCGCUGUGUAAAUGAACCUAAAGCCCUCCAACAGCACAUAAAUGACAUCAGACAGAAGCACAUGCCGCUCGCAGGACACCAGCAGCUCUUACAAGAUGGAGCAGAUGGAGACGCACAGCUGCAGUAGCUUAUAGAAAAAGACUGAUUUCAUCCUCCAGACUGAUGCCAAUCAGUUGCAUUCCCAGAGUUUUGCCGACCGACUAGCACCUACAGAGUCAACAGAGGAGGCUCGGAGUCAUGAAUUAGGAACAUGACAGGAAAAGCAUCAGCAUUCAUGCAGCAACUGUGGGGCCUGAGUCGGACAAAUUAAGAGAAGAUGAUGAAUGCAAGAGAAAGUGUUCUCUUGUAUCUAACACCUGGAACAGACGCUCACACACGCACGCAUGCACUCACACAAGUCGAUGUUAUUCAGCGUAAGGGCAGAGUCACGACUCGCUCAUUCAUAUUCAGAGCCACUCCAGAGCAGACCGUCUGAUGACACCUGGCCGGGGAGCGAGGGAGACACUGGAAGUGUUUGUGUGUGUAACUGUUCACGCGUCUUACAGACAGAAAUUUUUAUUUGACAUGACUCAUACUCACCUUGUUCUUUUCUUUACAUCUGAAACAAAGUGUUUUCAUGUGCGUCGUGACCUCUGGAGCUCCCGUCCAUCAUUUCAGUCCUCUGUCUUUUACAGAUCUCCAUGUACAUCUGAAACUUACUUACAUCUUAAAACUUAAUUUUCAUAUUGUAAGCCCUCUCUGUAGAAGAUAAA